CUGGUUGAUCCUGCCAGAGGCUACUGCUAUCGGGGUCCGACUAAGCCAUGCGAGUUGAGAGGGGUAAGCCCUCGGCAUAUUGCUCAGUAACACGCGGAUAACCUGCCCUUGGGUCCGGGAUAACCCCGGGAAACUGGGACUAAUACCGGAUAGAUCAAGGAUACUGGAAUGUUCUCUGGUCCAAAACUCCGGUGCCCAAGGAUGGGUCUGCGGUCUAUCAGGUUGUAGUGGGUGUAACGUACCUACUAGCCUACGACGGAUACGGGUUGUGGGAGCAAGAGCCCGGAGAUGGAUUCUGAGACAUGAAUCCAGGCCCUACGGGGCGCAGCAGGCGCGAAAACUUUACAAUGCGGGAAACCGCGAUAAGGGGACACCGAGUGCCAGCAUCCUAUGUUGGCUGUCCAUAUGUAUAAAUCACAUGUGUUAGCAAGGGCCGGGCAAGACCGGUGCCAGCCGCCGCGGUAACACCGGCGGCCCGAGUGGUGGCCACUAUUAUUGGGUCUAAAGGGUCCGUAGCCGGUUUGGUCAGUCUUCCGGGAAAUCUGACGGCUUAACCGUUAGGCUUUCGGGGGAUACUACCAGGCUUGGGACCGGGAGAGGUAAGAGGUACUACGGGGGUAGGAGUGAAAUCUUGUAAUCCCUGUGGGACCACCAGUGGCGAAGGCGUCUUACCAGAACGGGUCCGACGGUGAGGGACGAAAGCUGGGGGCACGAACCGGAUUAGAUACCCGGGUAGUCCCAGCUGUAAACUAUGCUCGCUAGGUGUCAGGGACGGUGCGACCGUUUCUGGUGCCGCAGGGAAGCCGUGAAGCGAGCCACCUGGGAAGUACGGUCGCAAGGCUGAAACUUAAAGGAAUUGGCGGGGGAGCACUACAACGGGUGGAGCCUGCGGUUUAAUUGGAUUCAACGCCGGG
rnacentral:rRNA from 1 species